CUAAAUUUACAAUCAACUUCAUUCGUUGACUGACGGAUAUAGUACAUUUUGAAAAUCUUUUCACGGAAAACAAACCUAGAUGAUUUACAGGAGCUAAUAAUCAGGGCAAAGUGAUUUGAUAAUUUACAUGAUGCUGCUAACACACAAGGUUACUGACACCACAGCACGCCCAGCUUUUAUUAUACAUUUAAAGUUAACCAAAUGGAAAUGGAAUCACCACAUUCCUUGCUUGAUUUGUUUGCUUUGAAUUACCAUAUCUGACCUUUCAAGAUGCCAAGAUGGAGAAUUCAGAAUGCGAAGUUCACAAUAAUCAAAACAAAUAGCUCGAAUAUUAAUUUUUAUUCAAAUGUAAUGGGGGGUUUUGUUUUGUCUUCCACCAAUUGAGUCAUUUAUUUCAAAUUUUUGUACUUGGCAAACUUCAAACUAAGACAGUUCCUUCCAUGACAGUAACAGCUUUCCCUCGCAGCAGCACCCUUUGAUUCUGCUCAUCUAGAUGCAUGCUUACCGCUCCGCCUCGAGGGGAUGCCUGAAAGUGAACUAUAAUGUAUCAAACAUUCGAGGAGAACAAGUAAAGCUAUGAUAAGAUCAUAAAGAGAGAGAGAGAGAGAGAGAGAGAGAGAGAGAGAGAGAGAGAGAGAGUACCGCAUAUGCAAAAACAUCAGACUUUCCCAGUUUUUUGCACCAGUAUGGUGCUAAGGCACAAUGUGCGCUCCCACAAACAGGAUCCUGAAAGAUAUAAACAAGUAACACUAUUCAGCCUUGUAUCAAUUUUAGUUCACAAGUCGGAUAUAUUCCAGUUAUUCCUUGAGUUCAGCAUAACUGAAAACCGACAUAAACCAAACAGCAAAAGACACACGAAAAGGUUCCAAGCAGGUUAUUUUAAAUCCACCUUAGCAGAAAAAGAAAAAGGAGGUGGGAUUAUAAAUCCAGAUACAUAAUCUUCACAUUUAGCAUAGCAAAGCUAAAAGAAAUAUGCAACAAACUUGGGUUCCCAAUAUCAGGCACUUGAAAGAAACUUGAUCAGAAAAUAAAUUAAAGCUGCUUACCUCACCAAUCCCAUUUUUAGGGCAGAAGUAUCUGCUGUAAAAAUCAUAUUCAGACUCUGGAGGAGCAAUCCCUGUUACAAUCACUCCCCCAGACCCUGGACAUUUUUGGAUUGCAUCAAACUUUGGCUGUAAAUCUACAACAGCUUUUGCUGAUGGAAGUACAACCUGAAAAUUGAAACAAGUCCUCAUUUAAGAGUACAUCUAGACUCCAUAGAUAAGCCAAAAAAUAAAGGCCUAAUCCAUCAAAAACAAAAAGUAAGAAGCUUAUAUCGAUGGUAAGCAUAAUAUAUAGAGAUUUUCUGGAAGGGUUGCAGGAUUUACAAGUAGAUCGUCGGUGACAUAUGUUUUCCUUAUAUCAAUCAUAGAAGCACCAUCCAAGGCCUCGGAGAUCAAUGAAACCUCACUAGAGUUGAAUUCAUAAGAUGGGGCGGCAGGAAAAUUCAGUUCAAUGAAAUAGGACUUUUGUGCUUCACCAUUUUGAAUAUUAUUUGAAUCAUUGGCUGUCUUAACAUCUGGAACCUUUUUAGCUGUUAGGAUUCCAGAUAAUGUAGCAAACUCAAUAAAGUUGGAAUUUAUCAAACCAGACUUAAAGAGAGUGUAUGCAGCCGCUAAUGUUGCAUGACCACAAAGCUCAACCUGCAAAAGGGUAUCAAUUUUCCAAGCUUGAUUUACUUUUCUAAGAUAUCAAAUUUGCCAAAAGUAGAGCCUAGUAUGCAUACUCUACUUUAUGCAUCAGUGACAAAAUCAAGACAUCAAAUUAUCAAAUACCAGUUAAGCACAUCAAAUCGGGAAACUGGAGUUAAACAAGUUUACUUUUUUAAAUAAACCCAUACACGAAAAGGCCAAAAGGAACCAUCUUUUUUACUGAAUUCAUGAUUGUUGAAGAUUUUGAUACACUCAAAUCUUUUCCCUGAAUUUCACACUUCAAUUCAACCUUGUUAUGAAGAACUAAAAACAAACAAAACUGUAAAGAUCGAUCCUUUUUUUUUUUUUUUCUUUUUUAAUGAACGGGGGUAUAAAGAUCUAUCCUUUUGAUUUUGUGAAAUCAAACACUAAUUGAACAGAAGGUGAGCUAAGACCUCGUUGGAAGGCGUGAACCAUCUGAGACCAAACCUAGGAGCUGAAGUAGGCGUGGAAUCGGUGACCCGAGUCAGAUAACAAGUCUCGGAUAGAUUGAACUCGGAGGCCACGGCCUGCAACCACUUGUCAUCUUUAUCUUCUUCUAACAAGCAAACCGCUGCUGGGUUUCCCUUGAAAGCUGAUUCAGUGAAGGCAUCCACCUGCACACACACAACACAUCCAUUUCAACACUCAAAUUCUUAACAAUCUGCUUGAGCGCAACGCAUUACAUACAGAAGAGAGAGAUUUGAGUACCACGGAGUAUUUCACUGGUUUCUUUGCCAUGGAAGAUUGAAAUUUGAUUAUGCAGCAAAAUACAGCAGAAGCAAAGAGAGUCACUCAACUCAACAACAUCGCGGUCCGCCGGCGGCUGGUCCAAAUGUCAGUGUAUUUUUUUAGUUUCGAGUGGGGUCCACUUGAUUUCCCGACACCUAACCAUCACCUACUGUGAUUGUGGGGCCAGAACAUACCCUGUUCUUUGCCCCUUGCCCAAGCCUGAACAUAAUUUAUCAAACAUGAUGUACCAUCAUAUUUGAGCGAGUCGGUUUGGUUUGUGACUGUUUCUCUUCUGGCAAGAAAUUUUCAUAAGAAAUUCAAAAGCAUUGAGAGUACUUCAGAAAGCAUUUAUGUGACUCACUUCUAAACUUUUUUUUUUUUGUCAAACACUGUUACAAGCAUCAUAAAGUGUUUUUUUUUUUUUUUUUUUUCAAAACUACUUGUUCUAUUAAAAGUGUCGCUAUUUUCAUUUUUAAUCUUUCCUCUUGUAGUCUGCCGAAAAUAGUGCAUUUCUUCUUUGAUUUUAUAAUACUCUCAUUGGAGUAAUGGGUUAUAAGAGUACCUUCAUUAACCCUUUCUUUCUUUGCCAAUAAUAAUUUCUGAAGAAAAACAAAUUUGUAAAUUACAAUCACAUGUCCUAAAUUUACAAUCAACUUCAUUCGUUGACUGACGGAUAUAGUACAUUUUGAAAAUCUUUUCACAGAAAACAAACCUAGAUGAUUUACAGGAGCUAAUAAUCAGGGCAAAGUGAUUUGAUAAUUUACAUGAUGCUGCUAACACACAAGGUUACUGACACCACAGCACGCCCAGCUUUUAUUAUACAUUUAAAGUUAACCAAAUGGAAAUGGAAUCACCACAUUCCUUGCUUGGACAUCUUCAAGAAAUGGGAUAGAGUGAUAUUUGGAAGUUCAAUUGAACGCCCCAUUUUCUUUGUUAUCUUUGUCACCUUAAUGGCCUCCCCAUUCUCUGAUUCAAUAACCGUCACCGACACCAAGUUGUAGAACUGUUCAAAAACCAGUUUGUGCAUAUUAGAUUACUUCGAAGAAAGCUUUGAUAAGAAUUGAGUAACAAUUUUACUAACUUCUAGUAUCAGCUACUAUUUCUUUUAGGUGGCGACUGAUGCCAUGCAAACCGAGUAAUCCCGAUGUGC
rnacentral:lncRNA from 1 species